CGGUGAUAAACCGGAGGAAGGUGGGGAUGACGUCAAGUCAUCAUGGCCUCUAUGUCCAGGGCUACACACGUGCUACAAUGGCAUCUACAAACCGCAGCAAACUCGCAAGAGGGAGCCAAUCGGAAAAAGGAUGUCUCAGUUCGGAUUGCAGUCUGCAACUCGACUGCAUGAAGUUGGAAUCGCUAGUAAUCGCGGAUCAGCAUGUCGCGGUGAAUACGUUCCCGGGUCUUGUACACACCGCCCGUCACACCAUGGGAGUGGGUUCCACCAGAAGUAGUUAGCCUAACCGCAAGGAGGGCGACUACCACGGUAAGAUUCAGGACAGGGCAGGAGGCCAGCGUUCGUCCUGAGCCAGGAUCAAACUCUAAUCUAGAUGCAUCGCAGUUCUAAUCGGA
rnacentral:rRNA from 1 species